AGAAUCAACGCUGGCGGCGUGCCUAACACAUGCAAGUCGAACGCGGUUACCCCGCAAGGGGUGACUGAGUGGCGAACGGGUGAGUAACACGUGGGUGACCUGCCUUCGAGUGGGGGAUAACAUCCCGAAAGGGGUGCUAAUACCGCAUGACAUCCUGCCUUUGAAGAGGUGGAGAUUAAAGCUGGGGAUCGUAAGACCUGGCGCUUGAAGAGGGGCUCGCGUCCGAUUAGCUAGUUGGUGGGGUAACGGCCUACCAAGGCUACGAUCGGUA
rnacentral:rRNA from 1 species